UAAACGACUCUCGGCAACGGAUAUCUCGGCUCACGCAUCGAUGAAGAACGUAGCAAAAUGCGAUACUUGGUGUGAAUUGCAGAAUCCCGUGAACCAUCGAGUUUUGAACGCAAGUGCGCCCGAAGYUCCUUCCGGCUAAGGGCACG
rnacentral:rRNA from 1 species